CUCGCGGUGGGUCAGGGGGCGACCGAGGAGGGACCACGCGGCCUGUAGGGGGCAGCGCCGAGCUCAGGAGGAGACAGCAGCCGGCGGGUGGGGUGGGUCUGGGCUGCCCCCUCCGGGAGCUGCCCUGGGGCCGCACGGCGAUUGUCACACCCGGCCGCCCCUGUCCACCGUGCGCUUCCUCUCGGCGCCGCGGGCCUCAACCGGGGCUCUGAGGGACGUGACAGAGCUCGGCACGCGGCGGCCUCUGGGGAGUUAGGGUCCGGAGAGACCCGCGCGUCGCCCCCCGCCGGCCCGGGGCCGGGAGACCCUCGGGAGCCGCCUCCGCGUGUCCAGAGAGCGUCGGGGCGGCAGCUACUUCCCCUCGUCCUUCGCCGGAGGAAUAUUCCGAUUAUUCUGCCGCCGCGACUUUAACCGUGCGCAAGGCGAGAGCUCGAAACAAACAUCACAUCUAAAUUAAAAAAAAAAAAAAAAAAA
rnacentral:lncRNA from 1 species